UACGGAGGGGGCAAGCGUUGUUCGGAAUUACUGGGCGUAAAGCGUGCGCAGGCGGUUCGCUAAGACCGAUGUGAAAUCCCCGGGCUUAACCUGGGAACUGCAUUGGUGACUGGCGGGCUAGAGUAUGGCAGAGGGGGGUAGAAUUCCACGUGUAGCAGUGAAAUGCGUAGAUAUGUGGAGGAACACCGAUGGCGAAGGCAGCCCCCUGGGCCGACACUGACGCUCAGGCACGAAAGCGUGGGGAGCAAACAGG
rnacentral:rRNA from 1 species